AUGACCGAUCAUGGUCCACGGACGCCCAGGCAUGUCCGCGGACGUUUGAGGGGCCGUGUUAGAUACUCGCGACUGCAGAUGCUUUUACAAGGUGCUCACAGCAAUGAGCUUGCUGCUGCUUCAAAGCUGGAGGAUAGCAUCAACGUUUACCAGACCACCAGUCGCGAUGUAGCCGAGCUUUUCGGCGUUGACCCGGAAGCAAAAAGCGCCCGUUCAUAG
rnacentral:rRNA from 1 species